CAGCAGCCGCGGUAAUACAGAGGGUGCAAGCGUUAAUCGGAAUUACUGGGCGUAAAGCGCGCGUAGGUGGUUUGUUAAGUUGGAUGUGAAAUCCCCGGGCUCAACCUGGGAACUGCAUCCAAAACUGGCAAGCUAGAGUAUGGUAGAGGGUGGUGGAAUUUCCUGUGUAGCGGUGAAAUGCGUAGAUAUAGGAAGGAACACCAGUGGCGAAGGCGACCACCUGGACUGAUACUGACACUGAGGUGCGAAAGCGUGGGGAGCAAACAGGAUUAGAUACCCCUGUAGUCCCUGUCUCUUAUAU
rnacentral:rRNA from 1 species